CCAAUAGUCUGAAAAAUACACCAAAAUGUUGCAUCACAAAGUAUAGAAUAGAGAUCAUUAAUAGGUAAUUAAAUAGCAUAACAAAAUGAUUUGAUCAAGACAUACUAAGAACAUUAGUCAUUUAUUGGGUGUGAAAUGUAUGCUGGGUAUUGUUCACAAGCCAAAGGACGCAAGAAAUCAAAGACUACACAUCAUUGUAUUACAAGGUCAAUCACUCGUUAUAAUCACGCAUAAUUCCUUAGGCAAAUAGCAGGGCAAACAAGGCUAAGGCAAGCACCAUUUAUUUGAUGUUGAGAAGACAUCAAGCAAACUAACAAAGAAGAAUAAUACAACAAACAAGGUUAGGUUAUAUGCAAUUGCAUGUGAUAAGAUUUUUGUAACUUCUCAUUGGCUUCAUGUGUUUCAAAAUUCAUUUCUUAAAAUUAAACCU